UUCUGGAAAAAAGAAGAUGAAAUCUAUAAAUCUAAAUUACAAUAUCUUCUCACAGCUUGUCAGGGGGAAAAUGUUUCCCCUGUUGUGUACAAUUACAAAUGUCCUUGGCCGUGACAGAAGUAUGAACAAUAACCUGAGACAAUAUUUUUUAGAGAGCAAUGAUAAACCUCCCUACCUGAUGCUCCAUUCAGAUUGGAGAGUUCUUUCUUCAUUCCUGCUAACUGUGAUUUGUCAGCAAUAGUUAGGCAACCCUGUACUCUUUCUGUACUCUGCCAAACAAGAAAGAAAAAAAACAACAACAACAACAAAAAGCCUUGACAUCUAUAUUUAAGGAUUGCGCUCUGCAGAAGCAGCGGAGCUUCUGAUUCUAAUUACUACGCCUGGGAUGACUACAAGGUGGAAAAUAGCAUACUGCUUGGCUGCAGCUCGCCAAAGUAGCACACCGGGAGUACAUUUCUAUGGUUGGGAUCCCUUUCCCACAAUCUCUACUGCAGGGCAAAUUCUUCUGGCGUGCAUGGCUGCAUUCUAAUUAGCUUAUACAUUGGGGGAAGGGGGGACGCAUAUCGUCAUUUUAAAAGUGGAAAAUAUUACUCUUAUUCUUGGGAUUGGGAGAAGAAAGCUGGCAGAGUUUCCGAAAGAGCCCUUUCCUCCCGAGAAUGGCACAGACGGAGGGGAGCGAGUGGCAACCGACUUAAUCAUUCUCAGGGAAAGGUGCGCAUUGUACAGAUGAGGAAACUGCGGCAAUAAGGGUUAAAUGACUUGCUCAGAAUCACACAGUAGUAAGUGUAUGAGGCCAGAUUUGAAAUCACCAAGCUGAAUCUUCCUGACUCCAGGAACUCCAUCCACUGUGUCACCUAGUUGCUCAAGGUCCUGGUAUGGGGAUUUCCCAGAGGUGAAUUCUGGAGGAGGACUUGUCCUGAAGGAAGAAGAAUUAUGAAGGUUACUUCAUGAAUGCUAGAUGAAAGACAGCAGCUAUUUUACUACAAGCAUUAUUAAAAACAACAGUUAUACGCAGUACAGUGAUUCUCCUGAGUGUAGGGAUGGUAAGACCAAAAGUGGAUGCUAUUUCUUCUUCUUCCCCCCUCCCCCACAAAAAAAUCCAGAAGUGACAUUUUCUUAAUAAAAUGGAAGAGCUCAUCAAUUUUAGAUCCUGAAUUUCACAGAUAAGAAGUUCAUGGGACCAUGGAUAUGGAAUUAAAAAUGAAUAUUUCAAAUCACUUAUUCUAACUCCCUCAUUUUUUGAGGCCCACAGAGGUGGCUAGCUCAAGUUCAAAGAAAAAACCAAACAGCAGAUUUGAGAUUCAUAUUCAAUUCCAUUCAACAUUUUUUUCAAGGGAGAAAAAAAAAAAAACAACUGCUUUCUUUCCUUCCUAGAAAAAAGAGGUUAAAUAAUAUAUAAAGCGCACUCCAAAUUUUAGUUCAAUUUUAAGUUACUGCAAUAAAACUUUUUAAAAAGCAAUGCCUCUUUGUGAAAUAUAUCUCUUUUAAUGAUUAAUUGUUUAAGUUAAAGUACUUUAAGGAAGUAGGGAAUAUUGGGUAUUAACUUGUCUGUGAAGACAUUGUAUGCUUCUAAUAGACUAUUUAUUGAGAGGAGGGAUUGUUUAUAUCUGUAUCCCCAGUGCCUUACAUUUGGUGGAUGUAUAAUAAAUACUUGUUGAUUAAU